rnacentral:lncRNA from 1 species
CGAAUAACAAAACAGUACUCCUUCUCAUUUUGUCCCUUUAUCUUGGAUGUUUUGCAAUAUUUUGAUACAUGGUCAUAUUUUAUAAUAAUACAUUUCUCCUUAAUUUUCAUGUGUUCUUCCUUACCCCUACAUUUAUUCCCGUUGAAAAUUCUCCCAGCAAAUCCACAUUCACAUUGAUGGUAGCACAACAGCUAAUUUGGCGGCAGUGAGGAAAACAAAUUUAAGCAAUUGUUGUUGUUGUCUCCUCUUCAGAAUCAAAUAGUGGAUCUCAUCGAAUAUGUGGGUGAUAUAAAAUUAAGGUUUUGAUAUAAUAUGUUCACUGUUCACAUAAUCCUCCAACCUUGAGGCACACAUCCAUCAAUAUGUACCUAUUGCUCAACAAAACCUAUGUUCACUUCUUCUUUCAAACAACACUAUUUCAUAUCAUUGCAUAUUGAAGGUCCUUGUUGAUGAUCAUUGUUCUAUUUCCUCUUCUUCUCAUAUUAUUCUUGAUUUUCUGUGUAAAUAAGCAAUUUAUCUCGAGGGAAUAGGUUUGUAAGUAGUGUUGGAAGUGGUGGUAAUGAAAUAAGUGAAUUAGCAUAUGUAGUGAUAAUAGUAGUAAUAGAGAGUGUAAUUUUUUUCCUAAUAAUUGAUUUUUAAUAUUUAUUGAAUUAGAUUUGUACACGCUUUGAGUAAAAGAUAUUUGAGUUAUAAAAUAGGCAAAUGACAAGUGUGG